rnacentral:rRNA from 1 species
CAGUGCUUGCACUGGUACUCGAGUGGCGAACGGGUGAGUAACACGUGGGUGAUCUGCCCUGCACUUCGGGAUAAGCCUGGGAAACUGGGUCUAAUACCGGAUAGGACCACAUUUUGGAUGGUGUGGUGGAAAGUUUUUCGGUGUGGGAUGAGCUCGCGGCCUAUCAGCUUGUUGGUGGGGUAAUGGCCUACCAAGGCGUCGACGGGUAGCCGGCCUGAGAGGGUGUACGGCCACAUUGGGACUGAGAUACGGCCCAGACUCCUACGGGAGGCAGCAGUGGGGAAUAUUGCACAAUGGGCGCAAGCCUGAUGCAGCGACGCCGCGUGGGGGAUGACGGCCUUCGGGUUGUAAACUCCUUUCGCUAGGGACGAAGCGCAAGUGACGGUACCUGGAGAAGAAGCACCGGCUAACUACGUGCCAGCAGCCGCGGUAAUACGUAGGGUGCGAGCGUUGUCCGGAAUUACUGGGCGUAAAGAGCUCGUAGGUGGUUUGUCGCGUCGUUUGUGUAAGCCCGCAGCUUAACUGCGGGACUGCAGGCGAUACGGGCAUAACUUGAGUGCUGUAGGGGAGACUGGAAUUCCUGGUGUAGCGGUGGAAUGCGCAGAUAUCAGGAGGAACACCGA